GAUGAAGACGCAGCGAAAUGCGAUAAGUAAUGUGAAUUGCAGAAUUCAGUGAAUCAUCGAAUCUUUGAACGCACAUUGCGCCCGCCAGUAUUCUGGCGGGCAUGCCUGUUCGAGCGUCAUUACAACCCUCAGGCCCCCGGGCCUGGCGUUGGGGAUCGGCGGAGCCCCCCGUGGGCACACGCCGUCCCCCAAAUACAGUGGCGGUCCCGCCGCAGCUUCCAUCGCGUAGUAGCUAACACCUCGCGACUGGAGAGCGGCGCGGCCACGCCGUAAAACACCCAACUCUUCUGAAGUUGACCUCGAAUCAGGUAGGAAUACCCGCUGAACUUAAGCAUAUCAAUAAGCGGAGGA
rnacentral:misc_RNA from 1 species